GGGGACAACAGUUGGAAACGACUGCUAAUACCGCAUACGAUCUAAUCUCGGCAUCGAGGAUAGAUGAAAGGUGGCCUCUACAUGUAAGCUAUCACUGAAGGAGGGGAUUGCGUCUGAUUAGCUAGUUGGAGGGGUAACGGCCCACCAAGGCGAUGAUCAGUAGCCGGUCUGAGAGGAUGAACGGCCACAUUGGGACUGAGACACGGCCCAG
rnacentral:rRNA from 1 species